rnacentral:rRNA from 1 species
GUGGCGGACGGGUGAGUAACGCGUGGGUAACCUGCCCUAUACAGGGGGAUAACAACCAGAAAUGGUUGCUAAUACCGCAUAAGCGCACAGGACCGCAUGGUCUGGUGUGAAAAACUCCGGUGGUAUAGGAUGGACCCGCGUUGGAUUAGCCAGUUGGCAGGGUAACGGCCUACCAAAGCGACGAUCCAUAGCCGGCCUGAGAGGGUGAACGGCCACAUUGGGACUGAGACACGGCCCAGACUCCUACGGGAGGCAGCAGUGGGGAAUAUUGCACAAUGGGGGAAACCCUGAUGCAGCGACGCCGCGUGAAGGAAGAAGUAUCUCGGUAUGUAAACUUCUAUCAGCAGGGAAGAUAGUGACGGUACCUGACUAAGAAGCCCCGGCUAACUACGUGCCAGCAGCCGCGGUAAUACGUAGGGGGCAAGCGUUAUCCGGAUUUACUGGGUGUAAAGGGAGCGUAGACGGAUUAGCAAGUCUGAUGUGAAAGGCAGGGGCUCAACCUCUGGACUGCAUUGGAAACUGCCAGUCUUGAGUGCCGGAGAGGUAAGCGGAAUUCCUAGUGUAGCGGUGAAAUGCGUAGAUAUUAGGAGGAACACCAGUGGCGAAGGCGGCUU